GGACAGGGGUGAAAAUAACCGAGUCUGAGCAUCAGAACCUUCCCAUCUACCUAAAGCAUGAUCUCAGUAGCUCUGAGA